GAUCAACGCUGGCGGCGCACAUAAGACAUGCAAGUUGAACGGACUUAAUCGAAAUAUUUCUAUUUUGAAGCGGUUAGUGGCGGACUGGUGAGUAACGCGUAAGGAACCUGCCUAUUAGAGGGGAAUAACAGUGAGAAAUCAUUGCUAAUACCGCAUAUGCCAUAGAUAUCACAUGAUAACAGUGGGAAAGGAGCAAUCCGCUAAUAGAUGGCCUUGCGUCUGAUUAGAUAGUUGGUGGGGUAACGGCCUACCAAGUCGACGAUCAGUAGCCGGACUGAGAGGUUGAACGGCCACAUUGGGACUGAGAUACGGCCCAGACUCCUACGGGAGACAGCAGUCGGGAAUAUUGCGCAAUGGAGGAAACUCUGACGCAGUGACGCCGCGUAGAGGAAGAAGGUUUUCGGAUUGUAAACUAUUGUCGUUAGGGAAGAGAAAGGACAGUACCUAAGGAGGAAGCUCCGGCUAACUACGUG
rnacentral:rRNA from 1 species